CAAGUACUCCCUUCGUCUGGAAUUACUUGUCAUCAAAAUGGAUGUGUCUAGAACUAAAAUACAUCUAGAUACAUCCAUUUCAAUGACAAGUAUUUUCGGACGGAGGGAGUACAAG
rnacentral:pre_miRNA from 1 species